AUUUAUAUAGUUUAUUCAAAACGUUACAUUUUCAUUGUAAAAAUAAAAUAUUAAUUUUUAUAAAUA
rnacentral:tRNA from 1 species